rnacentral:RNase_P_RNA from 1 species
GAAGCUGACCAGACAGUCGCCGCUUCGUCGUCGUCCUUUCGGGGAGACGGGCGGAGGGGAGGAAAGUCCGGGCUCCAUAGGGCAGGGUGCCAGGUAACGCCUGGGGGGGAAACCCACGACCAGUGCAACAGAGAGAAAACCGCCGAUGGCCCACGUAAGUGGGAUCAGGUAAGGGUGAAAGGGUGCGGUAAGAGCGCACCGCGCGGCUGGUAACAGUCCGUGGCACGGUAAACUCCACCCGGAGCAAGGCCAAAUAGGGGUUCAUAAGGUACGGCCCGUACUGAACCCGGGUAGGCUGCUUGAGCCAGUGAGCGAUUGCUGGCCUAGAUGAAUGACUGUCCACGACAGAACCCGGCUUAUCGGUCAGUUUCACUU